rnacentral:rRNA from 1 species
CAGCCGCCGCGGUAAUACGGAGGGUGCGAGCGUUAAUCGGAAUUACUGGGCGUAAAGCGUACGCAGGCGGUUUGUUAAGUCAGAUGUGAAAUCCCCGAGCUUAACUCGGGAACUGCAUUUGAAACUGGCAGGCUAGAGUCUCGUAGAGGGGGGUAGAAUUCCAGGUGUAGCGGUGAAAUGCGUAGAGAUCUGGAGGAAUACCGGUGGCGAAGGCGGCCCCCUGGACGAAGACUGACGCUCAGGUACGAAAGCGUGGGGAGCAAACAGGAUUAGAUACCCGCGUAGUCCCUGUCUCUUAACA